AAUGAACACUGGCGGCAGGCCUAACACAUGCAAGUCGAACGGAUCCUUCGGGAUUAGUGGCGGACGGGUGAGUAACGCGUGGGAACCUACCCUUUGGUACGGAAUAGCCUCGGGAAACUGGGAGUAAUACCGUAUGUGGUCGAGAGACGAAAGAUUUAUCGCCAAAGGAUUGGCCCGCGUUGGAUUAGGUAGUUGGUGGGGUAAUGGCCUACCAAGCCGACGAUCCAUAGCUGGUUUGAGAGGAUGAUCAGCCACACUGGGACUGAGACACGGCCCAGACUCCUACGGGAGGCAGCAGUGGGGAAUCUUAGACAAUGGGGGAAACCCUGAUCUAGCCAUGCCGCGUGAUCGAUGAAGGCCUUAGGGUUGUAAAGAUCUUUCAGGUGGGAAGAUAAUGACUGUACCACCAGAAGAAGCCCCGGCUAACUCCGUGCCAGCCGCCGCGGUAA
rnacentral:rRNA from 1 species